UGUUGGUUAACUGGUUGUAUUGUUCUGUUCUCAUACUACUAAUAAAGUCAUACCUGAGACUAUGGGUAAUUUAUAAAGAAAACAAGGUUUAAUGGACUCACAGUUCCACCUGUCCAGGGAGGCCUCACAAUCAUAGCAGAAGGCAAGGAGGAGAAAGGCAUGUCUCACAUGGUGGCAGGCAA